UAGGGAAUCUUCGGCAAUGGGGGGAACCCUGACCGAGCAACGCCGCGUGAGUGAAGAAGGUUUUCGGAUCGUAAAGCUCUGUUGUUAAGGAAGAACGAGUGUGAGAAUGGAAAGUUCAUACUGUGACGGUACUUAACCAGAAAGGGACGGCUAACUACGUGCCAGCAGCCGCGGUAAUACGUAGGUCCCGAGCGUUGUCCGGAUUUAUUGGGCGUAAAGCGAGCGCAGGCGGUUAGAUAAGUCUGAAGUUAAAGGCAGUGGCUCAACCAUUGUAGGCUUUGGAAACUGUUUAACUUGAGUGCAGAAGGGGAGAGUGGAAUUCCAUGUGUAGCGCUGAAAUGCGUAGAUAUAUGGAGGAACACCGGUGGCGAAAGCGGCUCUCUGGUCUGUAACUGACGCUGAGGCUCGAAAGCGUGGGGAGCGAACAGG
rnacentral:rRNA from 1 species